GCUUCAUUAGUAUAGUGGUCAGUACUGCAUCCCCUCUGGGGCUGUGACCAGGGUUCGAAUCCCUGAUGGAGCA
rnacentral:tRNA from 1 species